rnacentral:ncRNA from 2 species
UUCUUAUUUUGAGAGACGGAGGGACUGGCCCUAUGAUGUCCGGCAACCUGAAUAUUUAAGGUGCUAAUUCCAGCAGGUAUUACCUGAGAGAUAAGAA